GACGAACGCUGGCGGCGUGCUUAACACAUGCAAGUCGAACGGUGAUGCCCCAGCUUGCUGGAGUGGAUCAGUGGCGAACGGGUGAGUAACACGUGAGCAACCUGCCCCAGACUCUGGAAUAAGCGCUGGAAACGGCGUCUAAUACUGGAUACGAAACUGGCCCGCAUGGGCAUGGUUUGGAAAGUUUUUCGGUUUGGGAUGGGCUCGCGGCCUAUCAGCUUGUUGGUGAGGUAAUGGCUCACCAAGGCGACGACGGGUAGCCGGCCUGAGAGGGCGACCGGCCACACUGGGACUGAGACACGGCCCAGACUCCUACGGGAGGCAGCAGUGGGGAAUAUUGCACAAUGGGCGAAAGCCUGAUGCAGCGACGCCGCGUGAGGGAUGACGGCCUUCGGGUUGUAAACCUCUUUCAGCAGGGAAGAAGCGAAAGUGACGGUACCUGCAGAAGAAGCACCGGCUAACUACGUG
rnacentral:rRNA from 1 species